rnacentral:lncRNA from 1 species
GCUAAAGCUCAGUUGUAAAUUCCUGUAUUCCACCUGAAUACCUCAGAUAGGGAUCUAUGUAUCUGAAAAUAUUCCGUGAUGCAGUCAGUAUUCACGGAACACAGAACACAAACAUUGAACCUGCUGAGCCUGUAUGAAGCUACUAUCCCAGGGCUGUGAAAAGUAGACUAGUUGAGGAAGAAUUCAAGUCAACACUGAACUAGUGGUAGAGCUCUCAUCAUACAGAUCGUUGGAAAGUAGCAUCCCGACAGUUCUGAGAGAAAAAAAGGGAGUAUGCAUAAACACACACACAUACACACACACACACGCACAGUUUCUUUUUUGCCAUUAUUA